rnacentral:rRNA from 1 species
UGAUUACGCCCUGCCCUUUGUACACACCGCCCGUCGCACCUACCGAUUGAAUGAUUCGGUGAAAAUUCUGGACUGUGGCUCGGACGCCUUCGGGCGACCUUGCUGUGGGAAGUUAUUUAAACCUCAUCAUUUAGAGGAAGGUGAAGUCGUAACAAGGUUUCCGUAGGUGAACCUGCGGAAGGAUCAUUACCACACCCUCAAAUA